GUACUUGACUUGUUCUCUAAGAUACUGGGGUAGCUUUGUUGCUAGCACCUACUGAGUCCAACGGAAAAGAUAAAAUGACUAGAAAAAAAGUGAACACACAGACAAGGUAAAUAGGCACGAAUUGGAUUAUUCCAACAUCCUCUGCUGAGGUAGGAUUCAAAACUAAUCUGAUUAUAUGAAUAUUAGGAUCCACUAAGUAUCUUUCUGCAGCAAUUACCAAGCUUUCACACAUAAAAGAGGGCAUUUUCUUUAGUGCUGGGCUAAUCUAUCGAGUGUUUAGCUUCAAACUAAAAGUUGAGAGAGAGAGACUGAUUGAAGUAGCCUUACAAUGUAGUGAUGUUGCUUUCUUUUUCUCUCUUCUCUCUCCCCUCUCCUUUCUUCUUUUAUUCUCUUCUUUCUUCUCUUCAUAUUAAAUCUCAGGUUAUUUUUAUUCCUUGAGUGCAUUGAAACAUUUUCUGAUACACAAUUUUUGCCUCCUUUAAAUUCUAAUUUUGGGCUUUACAACUUGGAACCUGCCAAGAAAGCUGUACUAUCCUCUCUCAGUCAUGGUCCUGCCCAGUGGGACCAACAGCCCUCAAACCCUCAUUUUAAGCUUCCCUCUGAGUCUUAGAGACCCAGGAUUCAGUAUACAGAUAACCAAAGCUGUUCAGAAGUUUACUGUGUUGUAUCCCGUUUACUCUUCCAGAAGUUAGAUUUCUUUUUAAUGAAAAGCAAACAAAUGGCAGACUUACGUAACAGACCCUACAGGAAGACCACAUUGACACUGGAUAAUAAUGCUGUGAGUCAAAACUCCAUAAAAAUUUUAGGCAUGCAUCUUACAGAGGAAGUGCAACGUGGUGGUUACAAGAGCAAGUUCUGGUUCAAAUCCCACAUCUGCCACUUCCUAAGUAAGGAAUGAAGUUAGUUUACCACUUUUGCUUAAACAUUGGAAAAAGAAUAUCAGUAGUACCUAUUGUUGCACUAAGGUUGGUAUAAAAAGUCAAGACAAAGCUCCUAACAUUGCUUAGGUGGACUGGUUCUUAUCACUUCUCCAGAAUCACUUUGGACCUUGCUUUCCUUGGCUGCAGCCAUCCAUAACUUCUCCUUGUUCCCCACUUGUCUAACUUGCCAGCUGUCUAACUUGCCAUAGAGUCAUGUAUAUCCUGCUUUCCUUGUCUGGAAUACUCAUUCUUAAUCACUAAGCCUUUGCUGUUCUGCCCAAUUGAUUCCCACGACUACAUCACUCCCUCUUCCAAUCCUUUGAAUGGAUUCUCCAUGAGGUAGGGGCUGUGCCUACCUUUGUUCAUCAUUCUUUCCACAGCCAGGACUGGAGAGCGUGACACAUAGUAAGAACUCAACAAAUAUUAGUGCUAUCCUGAUGCAAUGUGUUAGGUCCUUGGAGCACAUGUUGGGAAAAUAAACUUCUGGCAGAUGGGAUCACUAGACACUGGGAAGACAGAAAGUAGCUUUGAAUUUCCCAUGUGAACAUUCUAGCCAUACAAUUGUGAAUUUAGUGAACAACAAACCCUGUCUUGACUGGGGAAAAAAAACUAGCAAACUUCAGGUAUAGACCCACACCAAGCUCUAAUAAUCCCACAGGCAUCCUGGGUUCACUGGGCAUUGUCUUGAAAGCCAUCCCGCAAUGGACACAAUCCUUGUAUUCAUAGGCAAUAGUCUGGGUAUUACUAUUCAAGUUUGAUCAUUUCUCUGCAAGUCCAGUGGCUAAAUACAUAUUUUAAUUGAGCCCAGGAGUGUUGAUUUGCAGACAUAGUAUAGAAAAAAAUCACAGGAAAAAUGGGAAGUUGAAGGAGCCUUUUACCUUUGAAUGGAAUAUGAUACUUACAAAACAUCAAUAACAAUUUUCUAUUGGGGAAAAGCCUGCGGCAAGAAUAACCAGUUUAGUUUUUAAGUGGCGACUGGACAGAAAAACAAGAAAACAAAACUGCCAUAGUAAGCCAGGUAAGGUAGUUUAACUGGAUAAAAUCCAAUGCAAUUGGUUUUCUGUGAUGUUAACAUACAGAAAUUAUCAUUAGCCAAUGAAAAGGCCCCAAUGUCCAAAAUGAUGUUAAAUGUUAUCAUGGUGACCAAAAUGUAACUACAUACAUUCAAUAAAAAAUAAAAUGACCAGAGUGAGUGAGGAUGAAAUAUUAUCAGUUAAAUGGCACAAAACUUACACUGACGAGGUUCACACAUGCAUGAACCACAUCUCUAAGUGCUCCCCAAACAACCAGAUUGUUAUUGACAAUCUGUGUGCAAAGCACCGUAGUCAUCACUAUCAUUUGCCUUCAAUAAACUUGUCUAGAUGAGCUGCCCCAUGACAGAGAUGUCAAUAAAAACUAAACAGAGUAUAAAAACUGAGAGCAUUAAGAGGUGGAUCAUGAAAGUUACCUUUUUAAAAAGGAGAUUCCAUAGUUUUCAACAUCAACUGAACAACUUUCUGUUGAUUUAACUGUAAAGUAACACUAUUUCAGAUUUUUGAUACCCAAAACAGAGCUGCUGUUUAGCAGAUGGGGGGAAGAAAGUGACCAUGAGCCGCACCCUCCAGAAUCUUCCUCCUUCUUAUCUAUACAUCCCGUCUCCCAAGUUACAGGGAACAGAGGCUGAGAACUUCCAAUAACAGCUAACAUUUAUUGAGAACUUACUCUAAGAUAGGCAUUGUUGCAAGAGCUUUACAUUUAUUAUCUUACUUAAUCAUCACAAGAAUCUCAUGAGAAAGGCAUGGCUAAUGUUUCCAUUUUAUAGAAGAGGGACACUGAGGCUCAGGGAACUUAAGUAACUCCUCCCAGGUCACACAGUCAGUGGCUUUGUUGGGAUGUAAAUUCAGGCAGUCUAACUUAAGAGCUUGGGAUCCCCACCACCACUCUCUACCACUUCAUAACCAUUAUGAGCUCCUGAUGGUUGAGAUCAUCCUGGAAACAUCCCAAAUAAAUAAAACAAAGCUUCUAAGGGCUUUGGAGGCUCCACAGGAAGCCCAAAUGUGGCCCUUUCAUAGAUCGUUAAGUCUUAUAUGGAGUGUUUGCACAUAACAAACGUUUUCCUAAUAAUCUACAUUUUUUUUUAAAUUCCAAGGCACUAAUGGGGGAUGUCACUAAGUUUGGUGGAUUUUCAAUUGUUUAAAAAUAAACCUUACCAACAUUCUUAACCUUUCUAGUGGGCUUUCCCAUUGCUUGAUUCUAUAGCAUAUAAUCAUCACAUAAAGAACUAUCUACUUAUGUGGAAGCAAGAAAGGGAAAACAAACCAAUGGAAAACACAAACAUAGGCAUGUUUGUUGUUUCAUACUGAGGGUUAUUUAGUUUGGAUAAUAAAUCAUUACAAUGAAUGUCAACACAGCACAGGGGAACUGGAGUAGUUAGUUGCAUAUGCUAAUGGAAGACGCGCAUUACUAAUAAGGGAGAGAAUGAACAACUCUAGCCACAUGCUAGUUAUCACUGCAAAUCUCAAGACAAGCCACGUUCACAUUGAGCAUAUGACUGCUGUAUGACAGUUCAGGCAAAUAUUCACAUGUCAACAGCAAUAGCUCCCAUACUCCAUCCAAGACUACUGAAGAGUUUAAAAAUAAAGCUCUCCUUGUCAUGCACCAAGACGUCAAGCUUAAACACAUCUGCCAGUCAAAGGGAUUUUGCCAGUCUUUUACCCCCACAAGUGUGGUCUACAGACUUCAAGUAUAUCAGAGUUCAAAAUACAAAGAACUGGAAGGUUAUCCACAAAUUCCUGCAUGUUCCUCAUUAUGGAUAGAUGAAAGAAGACAACUGCACCUUCUGGGGCACAACUCUAACCCCCUACAUUUGCAUACCCAGUCAUUUGUAAACGGAAAGAAACACAUCCCUGCAUUUGCCCAGAGGUAAAUGUUUACUCAGAAAGGUGACUUCUGACAUUGACAAUAAUGUCAGUUUUCCAUCUGCAUAUUUUAAGCUGGAAUGUAAAGUUGAGAAUUUUUCAGCAUCUCCCUGUCUGCCAGAUCCUAUCUGAGAUGCCUACGCUAAGAAGCCAACACAGAGACACGCAAUGCACACUAUCAGCAGGAGUGGCUUGGAAAUUCUGACUUGUAUUGAUUGAGACACCUUCCCACGAAGAAAGAUGGGAUUAGUAAUAA